CCUACGGGUGGCAGCAGUGGGGAAUAUUGCACAAUGGGGGAAACCCUGAUGCAGCGACGCCGCGUGAAGGAAGAAGGAUUUCGGUAUGUAAACUUCUAUCAGCAGGGAAGAAAAUGACGGUACCUGACUAAUAACCCCCGGCUAACUACGUCCCAGCAGCCGCGGUAAUACGUAGGGGGAAAGCGUUAUCCGGAUUUACUGGGUGUAAAGGGAGCGGAGGCGGUUUAGCAAGUCAGAUGUGAAAGCCCGGGGCUCAACUGCGGGACUGCUUUUGAUACUGGUGAACGAGAUUGCAGGAGAGGUGAGUGGAAUUCCUGGUUUAGCGGUGAAAUGCGUAGAGAUUAGGAGGAACACCAGUGGCGAAGGCGGCUUACUGGACUGUGAAUGACGCUGAGGCUCGAAAGCGUGGGGAGCAAACAGGAUUAGAUACCCGAGUAGUC
rnacentral:rRNA from 1 species